GGACUACCCGGGUAUCUAAUCCUGUUUGCUCCCUUGGCUUUCGUGCCUCAGUGUCAGUCGUUGUCCAGGGACUCGCCUUCGCCACUGGUGUUCCUCUCGAUAUCUACGCAUUUCACUGCUACACCGAGAAUUCCAGUCCCCCCUCCAACACUCUAGGAAGAUAGUAUCCAAUGCCGUUUCCAAGUUGAGCUUGGAGAUUUCACAUCAAACUUACCUCCCCACCUACGCACCCUUUACGCCCAGUGAAUCCGAACAACGCUUGGGACCUCUGUAUUACCGCGGCUGCUGGCAC
rnacentral:rRNA from 1 species